AUGUUAUGGAGCAUUACCGCCACUACCUGGUAUGGUAUCUGGAUUCAAUACAAAGUAGUGACGUUACGCGCUGUGCCGAGGCUUCAGAGCGUGUGUCGAGUAAUCCAGGAAGUGCACCAGCCUUUGAAGCAAAUGUUCGUAGUGACCAAACCGUGGAAUUACAAUUUCCGUGUCAGUCACGUGAUGCCAUGGGACCAAAAAUACUUUAUCCCAUUGACCAACGUCGGGAAAGAGACUAAAUCAGCGUGGUUUUGUGUGGACACCUUCAGCAAUACUCCGGCAGCAACAACGGAGCAUCUCGGGAUUCCUUAUUCCUGUCCAGAGCCAACCAACCGUACGCCCCUCUCCUACUCACCCUGCCACAGCAUGCAGUCAGUCCACAGUCACUUCCCAUUAUCCAUAGGCAUACCAAUAACUUCAACCACCUGGGUCGUGCUUUUUCUAACUGCCAUCUUGCACUUCUGCUCUUUCCGCAGAGGUGCUCAUGGGCUACCUGCUCCCACAACCAGACCACGCAUGCAGACUGACGAGCACAGCACCCCGGCACACCUGUUAAGGCACAGAAGUACUCCCCGACAACUCAGUUAUGCAUUCCCAUAAUCCCACAAGCAAAUCCUUCCUGUCCAACCAUUAAACUAAAGCUACGGCCACUCCCUUUCUCCACUUCUGUCCUUCUGGAUGAUGCAUGCAACAGAGACGCGUCGGUGGCAAUAUUUCCUGUCUUCUCGGUGUAGCAUUUAAUUAUUCUAUGACGACUUUGUUAAGAUAAUCUAAUGAACAAUGUCUUAUUUAUUAAGUUUGCAAUAUAUGAUCUAUGUAGACCUGAGUAUGACCCAUGCCAUAUGUGCAUAACUGAUACAUGACUGAUAUGGUCUCCAGGCUCUAAUAAAGUUAAGGGGACCACUCAAAGGUCAUGAGGAAGUGACCUUCACAUCUGGAAUAGAUUGUCUUUGUGCUAUGGAGUCUGAGGUAAUUCAAUAUAUGUUACAAGGGUUGGGCGUUCACUUACAACUGCUAUUUAAGGUUAAGUUUAUCUUUGUCAGUUGGGACUCUUCACGAUUGUAUGCUUGGUAGCAGGUAGAGUUCUUAUUAUUAUUUGUUGCACAACAAAAUAAUAAUUAAUCAACUAUAUAUGUGUUUGUGUUUUAUUGAUUCCUCUCUGUUUAAUACCACAAUGAAUAUCCUCGACAACUUCAUCACUCAACCUGAGGAUGUCCAGCUUUACACAGUCCAUAGGUUUCGGUGGCUACAUAGAGGGAAACGGUCAAACCAUGCCAGUCGUCGGCCGCUGGUCAUCCCAGGCAUGUUGCUCCUACAUCCGCAGCAGUCUGAAUGAUCUCCGUCAAGUCCAUACGCUUAUUUUAAAUGCAAUUCUUUUGGGGGCUUGAAUUCAGAUCAGGCAGAAACACACCUGAGACAGAAGCCCCACUCUGAGUCUCUCUCUGUCUGGACUUCAGUACGUCCUCCGGACCAGCCUAACAGACAACAUGCCUCUUCCUUCUUCACCCCUCCCCCUCACAAUCCUUCAUCAGUCCUCAACAUUCAAUACCCACUACCAAACCAUUACAUCUUUAUAAAUGAUACUGCAUUGCUUUGUGUAUAUCUGUUGUGUACCGGCUGUGAAAACAAAUAUCCCUCUGGGACAAUAAAUCUAAAUCAAAUCUUAUACUCCCCUUGUGGGACGCCACAAGUAAUCCCCUUUCUGCACAAAUUGUUACCACUUUUUAUAGCUUUUAAACCAGUUCAACACCAAGUCCAAUCCCAUACCUUCCCAAUGUAUUAGGUAUGUCAUGAUCAAUGUUAUCGAAUGCAUAUUUUUAAUUAUCUCUAUAACUGGUUAUUUCUUCUAUUAAUUCCAUGCUAUAGAUGUUGAUUUGUUCGUUCUGAAUCCAUACUGACUGUCCAAAAACAAUUUGUGCUUCUCAAUAGAAUUGUCCAACUUUUUAUUAAAAAGCUUUUCCAAU
ensembl:lncRNA